AGUCAUGUUAUUGGAGAGCGACGUUUUUGCGAAGAGUUAGGGAUUCAUCACUUGGAGUUGGACUUUGGAUCAUGCUGCACUCUUCUCAAGCUACUACUGUAGAUAAAAGCAGAGUUUCAGUUCUUAGGGUUCUAAUUCAUAGAUUUUCAUUCAUCCCUUAAGUUCAGCAUUCAUGAGAAAUCGAUUUGUAGGAGGUGCUUCACGACUUCCGGGUUUCAAGAGUGAUCAUUGAAUAUCAUCUGCCACUAUUGAGAUCAAUAUAAUCACUACUGGAAUUGCGUCAAGUGCUACCGAGGAUUGCUAUUAUCAAUCUUAUCUAGCAAGUGGUGGUACUAUGUGGCUUUCGUCAUCUCUCAGGUCACAAGCUAUGAGAAAUUCUCAGGCUUAAUAUACAUCUCUAUCCCAUGCAGGCUCAUGGUGUAAGGAGGUUGGGGCAGACCCUUCUUUUUAUCCUCUUUAGGAUGAUUUUUCUUUUAUCAUAAGGCAUCUACUGAUGUUUUUAUCGUUAUGUACUCUGUUCUGAACUUGUUUGUUUUUCCAUCACAAGUCGGUUGAUUUGAACACUUUAAUAAAAUUACUCAGAGACAAAAAAAAAAUAUCAUGCAAUUCUUUUUUUCCCUAAUUUAAGAUGAUAUUUUUUUUCCAAUAUUAUAUAUUAUUAUAUAUGUUGCUCUUAAUAUCACAAAAUAUUAUAUAUAUAUAUAUAUAUAUAUAUUUUAAAAUUUGUAUUUGGGUUUUGUGUCUAUUUCUUUUUGUAUUUGGUGAUAUUUUAUAAUAGUUGCAAAUUAUACUGUAUUUUAAACUUUCAAUAAAAAAGGUUUUUAUUUAUAUUUUUAGUGAUUUUCUAAUUUUAUUAUUAGCUGAACUGUUUGUCUAUGAUGUUUUAUACCAAUAAUCUAGUUUAAACAUUUAAUGCUAUUUUGAGAAAAAGAGAUCAUAAAUUAAUAUUUCUGUUAUUUUAUCAAAAUAUCAUAAUUCCAACAUGUUAGUGUACAUCUCUUAAAAUACUAUUGAAGUUUUUUUUUAUUACUAGGUCGACCAAUAUCGGAUCACAUUUGAUUACAGAGUUUUGAAGUUUUCAUGCUUUAUGUAGAAGUCGUCGUGUUUACCGGUUCGACCAUGAAUCUGAACUUGAUACAAAAAUAUUGUUUUCAUCUAAUUUCAAAAUAAUUUAUCUUAAAACAAUAGAUGUGCUAAGUGUGAUCACACCAUAUGAAAUUUUUUUUAAAAAAAAUUAAUAAAUGAAUAACAAAUAUAAUUACAUCAAUAACUAAAUAAAAAUAAUUUCAUUUUUUGUAUAAUACAAUUCUGUAACAUAAUAGGUGCAACAAAACUAACAUACUAAUUUAUAUCAAAUAUUUUUAACUGGAAAAUCAUCCGCAUUUUUGAAACGCGAGUCAAAAUAUAGUAUAACUUCUUUUUUUUUUUGCAUCUAAAUAUAGUAUAACUUUAAAAAAUGAAAUAAUAUUAUCCUGUGUGUCAUCUCAAAACUACAAACACUCACAAUUCUCUAUUUUUUUAUUAGUAAGGUGAUGUACAUUAUUUAACGACCUGAAGGUAGAAGAUCUACACAUCGUAUGUUACAUUUGCAAUAACGCUUGAUCUUAUGUAACAUGAUGAUAUUAUCACAUGUGCAGUUAAUAUACUUUUCCUUAUAAGUUUCCGCCAUAUAAUUCAUGCACACUUUCGGUCCAUCAACUUUGCAGUUUCCUUCGAUAUCUUCUAUUCUUGGACACAACUGAUUUGGAUCACUCUCUUCCAUUAUGUUAUACAUCAACAACACAGCAAAAAAAAAACCAUUAGCUUGUAGUUGAAGAUAUCUACAUACAGGUCCGGCUUAAUUUUUUUUGGACCUUGUGCAAGUUCUAACUUUUCAAGAGCAAUAAAAAUAAUUUGUAAAAUAGGACCCUAAUUCUACAAAAUUAGACCAUAAAUUCUAACUGAAUUUAUUUUAAUAUUUGGUGGACACUGUGCAAAUGUGCCUUGUACAAAUGGUAAGAGCUGGCACUGUCUACAUAAACAAUUGCAGUGCAAGCCGGAUCUACAAUUUUGAGAAAUUGAAGCAUAUCUUAAGAAAAAUUAAAAAAUUUGGAUGCCAACACUAAUGUUUUAUCGGGUUGUGCGUUGAUUUGGCCCGAGUGCAACAUUUGCGAUUAGUGACAAUCAAUGUUUUGUAUUAGGCAAAUAUCGAAAGGAAAUGAAUAAUACCUUUUGCUCCUUUACCAUCACUCAUUACGAGAAUGAUAAGAACACAGAAACUUAUAAACCACAUAGCAGAUCUCAUGGUUAAACAAUGUUCCUUGCAGAAUGCUAUAACUUGUUUUUUUUCGUGACAAGUAUUUGUUUACUUUGUAAACACACUCGUAAUAUAUAAACUUAAAACACACAUUAAAAAUAGAUAAUUCUAUCUUUAGAAACAUUUACUUUGUAAAAAUUCAACGUGCUGAGCUAACUGAUUCGAGUAUCAAUUUUUUUAUAGUAAAUUCCAACAGGCAUGCAAUUCUUUUUUCAUGUUCAACAAUUAUUAUACAAUAAAAUUGCUAUGAAUUAAAUUAGGCUGACUCAAAGUAUAAGAUAAUUUAAUCAACAAUUUUUUUUAUUUAUGUUGCAUCCCCUAUAUAUUAAUUGAGAAACAUUUGAAAAGAUGUGAGCUCAAUUUUGCAAUAACUAAAAAAAAUCACUUGUUUAUGUGUCAAUCAAUUAGGUAGUUAAUUAGUCAUACGUGUCAGUUUCACAUUGAAAUUGAAAAACAUGUUGGUCCAAUUCAAUUUUUAUAUCUCAUUAGAAAUAUUACCAACUAUAUGAUAUCAUUGAUAUUAACUAAAUCAAGGUGGCUAAUUAUUAUAUAUUAUUUAAUAAAGUAAUAAAAUUGUAUUUAUGUUGUAAAAAAUAAUUGGUAUAUGUUAAUUCUUAUUCGGUGAUUUUUUUUUAAAUAACUUGUUACAGUUUAUUAUAUUUUCAAUAAACAUUAAUUAAAAUUUUGUUAUUAUAUUUUAAUUAUAAGUUUAAAUUUUAAUUCAUACUAACAAACUAAUUUUGUUUUUUUAAUUUGAUGCUAUUUAAAUAAACAUAAAUUAAUAGUUCUAUAUUUUUUUAAAUAUUUAUACUUCUUAAAAUUAUUAAUUUGUAGAGUAUAAACUAUUAACAGUAUAAACAUCUUGUGACAAAAUUUAAAAUCUGGAUUUCUACAAAAUCUAGAAAAUAGAUUGAUUGAGAAACUCAUACUAGUUAUAAAAUAUCAACUCAUGACUUUAUUACAAAAGAAAGAUUUGGUGACUAACAAAACCUAUUCGUGUGUGAUCUCCACAGUACUACAAACUCUCACAACUUCUCUCUUUUGUUAUUAGUGAGGACUAAUGAGAUGUUAUUUAACGAGUCUGGAUCGAUGGAGGUGGAGCGUCUGGACAUUUUUCGUCACAUCGGCAAUAACGCUUGAUCUUACGUAACAUGUAGACGUUGUCACAUGUGCAAUUAAAAUAGGUACCGUUAUAAGUUGUCGACAUAUACUUCUCACAAGCUUUCGGUCCAUCAACUUUGCAGUUUCCUUCGAUAUCUUCUAUUCUUGGACAUAUAUUAUCUGGAUCAACUUCAACCAAAAAAAAAACUUAUCUGGAUCAACCUCUUCAAUAAUUUUAUAUCAACCACACAUCAAAAAAAAU